rnacentral:rRNA from 1 species
GUGGCCUACGGGGCGCAGCAGUGGGGAACAUUGGGCAAUGGGCGCAAGCCUGACCCAGCAACGCCGCGUGAAGGAAGAAGGCUUUCGGGUUGUAAACUUCUUUUCUCAGGGACGAAGAAAGUGACGGUACCUGAGGAAUAAGCCACGGCUAACUACGUGCCAGCAGCCGCGGUAAUACGUAGGUGGCAAGCGUUAUCCGGAUUUACUGGGUGUAAAGGGCGUGUAGGCGGGGGAGCAAGUCAGAUGU